rnacentral:rRNA from 1 species
GGUCAGAUGUACCACGGGAGUCAGACAGUGGGUGCUAAGGUCCAUUGUCGAGAGGGUAAGAGCCCAGAUCAACAGCUAAGGUCUCCAAAUAUAUGCUCAGUGGUUAAGGUGGUGACGUUGUAGAGACACCCAGGACGUUGGCUUAGAAGCAGCCAUCGUUUAAAGAAAGCGUAAUAGCUCACUGGUCUAAUGACGUUGCGCCGAAAAUGUAACGGGGCUAAGCAUAUUACCGAAGCUUUGAAUUCCGCGUAUGCGGUCUGGUAGGGGAGCGUUCUUCACGGGCUGAAGGUGUGUUGUAAAGCAUGCUGGACUGUGGAGAAGUGAUUAUGCUGACAUGAGUAACGAUAAAACGGGUGAAAAACCCGUUCGCCGUAAACCCAAGGUUUCCUGGGUAAAGGUAAUCUUCCCAGGGUUAGUCGGCCCCUAAGGCAAGGCUGAAAGGCGUAGCUGAUGGGAAACGUGUUAAUAUUCACGUACUUGUGUGUUCGCGCGAAGGAGGGACGCAGGAAGAUAGGCGAUCCGGGUGUUGGAUUACCCGGUGCAAGCGAGUAGGCAUGGGAAGCAGGCAAAUCCGUUUCCCUGUAUGCUGAGACGCGAGUCCGUGGGCGUAAGCCCUGAAGUCGCUGAGUCUAUGCUGCCAAGAAAAGCUUCUAAGUUUAGAACACGCAAACCGUACCGGAAACCAACUCAGGUGGGUGGGAUGAAUAAUCCAAGGCGCUCGAGAGAACUCUGGCCAAGGAACUCGGCAAAAUAACCCCGUACCUUCGGAAGAAGGGGUGCUCCUUUAGGUGAAGCGAUUCACUUGUUGAGCCUGAGGGAGCCGCAGAGAAAUGGUGGUGGCGACUGUUUACUAAAAACAUAGGUCUGUGCGAAGUCGUAAAGACGACGUAUACGGACUGACGCCUGCCCGGUGCCGGAAGGUUAAAAGGAGGGGUCAGCGCAAGCGAAGCUCCGAAUUGAAGCCCCGGUAAACGGCGGCCGUAACUAUAACGGUCCUAAGGUAGCGAAAUUCCUUGUCGGGUAAGUUCCGACCUGCACGAAUGGCGUAACGAUCUCCACACUGUCUCGGCCAGAGACUCGGUGAAAUUGCAGUCGCGGUGAAAAUUCCGUGUACCCGCAGAAAGACGGAAAGACCCUGUGCACCUUUACUAUAGCUUGACAUUGGAUUUUGGGCCUGCAUGUGUAGGAUAGGUGGGAGGCAGUGAACCCUGUACGCCAGUAUGGGGGGAGCCAUCCUUGAAAUACCACCCUUGCAUGUCUAAGAUCCUAACUUCUACCGGUUAUCCCGGAGAAAGACAGUGUCUGGCGGG